UUUAAUACUUUCAGUCAUGUCUGACUCUUCUUGAACCCAUUUAGAGUUUUUGUUUUGUUUUGUUUUUUAGUCAAAGAUACUGGAGUGGUUUGCCAUUUCCUUUUCCAACUCAUUUUCCAGAUGAAGAAACUGAAGCAAACAGAGUGAAGUGACUAGUCCAGAGUCACACAGCUAGUACAACUUGGACAGAUGAGAUGGCCCCUGUGGUCUUUUCCAAUAUAAAAAGGAGGAGAAGACAAAGAAGAAAAUGAAAAUGUAGAAGGUGAAGAAGAUGAGGAGAAAGAAAAGAGCCAAGGAGCAUAAAAUGGACAUGGAAAGAAUCUUUGGGACCAUCUAAC
rnacentral:lncRNA from 1 species